UACAGAGGUGGCAAGCGUUGUUCGGAAUUACUGGGCGUAAAGGGCGCGUAGGCGGUGUGUCAAGUCAGGCGUGAAAGCCCCGGGCUCAACCUGGGAACCGCGCUUGAGACUGGCACGCUCGAGUUCGGGAGAGGAUGGUGGAAUUCCCAGUGUAGAGGUGAAAUUCGUAGAUAUUGGGAAGAACACCGAUGGCGAAGGCAGCCAUCUGGACCGACACUGACGCUGAGGCGCGAAAGCGUGGGGAGCAAACAGG
rnacentral:rRNA from 1 species